GGGUUGCUAACUCAACGGUAGAGUACUCGGGUUUUAAA
rnacentral:tRNA from 2 species